CAGUCGCCGCGGGAAUACGAAGGGUGCAAGCGUUAAUCGGAAUUACUGGGCGUAAAGCGCGCGUAGGUGGUUUGGUAAGAUGGAUGUGAAAUCCCCGGGCUCAACCUGGGAACUGCAUCCAUAACUGCCUGACUAGAGUACGGUAGAGGGUGGUGGAAUUUCCUGUGUAGCGGUGAAAUGCGUAGAUAUAGGAAGGAACACCAGUGGCGAAGGCGACCACCUGGACUGAUACUGACACUGAGGUGCGAAAGCGUGGGGAGCAAACAGGAUUAGAUACCCGUGUAGUCCCUGUCUCUUAUAC
rnacentral:rRNA from 1 species